GACAGAGGGUGCUAACGUUGUUCGGAAUUACUGGGCGUAAAGCGCACGUAGGCGGCGAUUCAAGUCAGAGGUGAAAGCCCGGGGCUCAACCCCGGAACUGCCUUUGAAACUAGAUUGCUAGAAUCCUGGAGAGGUUAGUGGAAUUCCGAGUGUAGAGGUGAAAUUCGUAGAUAUUCGGAAGAACACCAGUGGCGAAGGCGACUAACUGGACAGGUAUUGACGCUGAGGUGCGAAAGCGUGGGGAGCAAACAGG
rnacentral:rRNA from 1 species